AAUCCAUAGGUUAAUGAGGCGAACCGGGGGAACUGAAACAUCUAAGUACCCCGAGGAAAAGAAAUCAACCGAGAUUCCCCCAGUAGCGGCGAGCGAACGGGGAGGAGCCCAGAGCCUGAAUCAGCAUGUGUGUUAGUGGAAGCGUCUGGAAAGGCGCGCGAUACAGGGUGACAGCCCCGUACACAAAAGCGCAUGUGCUGUGAGCUCGAUGAGUAGGGCGGGACACGUGGUAUCCUGUCUGAAUAUGGGGGGACCAUCCUCCAAGGCUAAAUACUCCUGACUGACCGAUAGUGAACCAGUACCGUGAGGGAAAGGCGAAAAGAACCCCGGCGAGGGGAGUGAAAAAGAACCUGAAACCGUGUACGUACAAGCAGUGGGAGCACAGGUUUACCUGUGUGACUGCGUACCUUUUGUAUAAUGGGUCAGCGACUUAUAUUCUGUAGCAAGGUUAACCGAAUAGGGGAGCCGGAGGGAAACCGAGUCUUAAUUGGGCGUUAAGUUGCAGGGUAUAGACCCGAAACCCGGUGAUCUAGCCAUGGGCAGGUUGAAGGUUGGGUAACACUAACUGGAGGACCGAACCGACUAAUGUUGAAAAAUUAGCGGAUGACCUGUGGCUGGGGGUGAAAGGCCAAUCAAACCGGGAGAUAGCUGGUUCUCCCCGAAAGCUAUUUAGGUAGCGCCUCGUGAAUUCAUCUCCGGGGGUAGAGCACUGUUUCGGCUAGGGGGCCAUCCCGGCUUACCAACCCGAUGCAAACUGCGAAUACCGGAGAAUGUUAUCACGGGAGACACACGGCGGGUGCUAACGUCCGUCGUGAAGAGGGAAACAACCCAGACCGCCAGCUAAGGUCCCAAAGUCAUGGUUAAGUGGGAAACGAUGUGGGAAGGCCCAGACAGCCAGGAUGUUGGCUUAGAAGCAGCCAUCAUUUAAAGAAAGCGUAAUAGCUCACUGGUCGAGUCGGCCUGCGCGGAAGAUGUAACGGGGCUAAACCAUGCACCGAAGCUGCGGCAGCGAACGUAUCACUUAAAGCGAUUCAGCGGGUUACGAUUAACGGAGCGAAGCGACGUCAAAGCGUAUACAAAGUCGAGUCGGUUUAAGGAUACGUUCGUUGGGUAGGGGAGCGUUCUGUAAGCCUGUGAAGGUGGCCUGUGAGGGUUGCUGGAGGUAUCAGAAGUGCGAAUGCUGACAUAAGUAACGAUAAAGCGGG
rnacentral:rRNA from 1 species